rnacentral:rRNA from 1 species
CAUUCAUUUGGUGUUACGGGGAGUCAGGACUGUUACUUUGAAAAAAUUAGAGUGUUUAAAGCAGGCAAUCGCUCGAAUACAUUAGCAUGGAAUAAUGAAAUAGGACGUUCGAACCUAUUUUGUUGGUUUCUAGGAUCGACGUAAUGAUUAAUAGGGAUAGUUGGGGGCAUUAGUAUUCAAUUGUCAGAGGUGAAAUUCUUGGAUUUAUUGAAGACUAACUACUGCGAAAGCAUUUGCCAAGGAUGUUUUCAUUAAUCAAGAACGAAAGUUAGGGGAUCGAAGACGAUCAGAUACCGUCGUAGUCUUAACCAUAAACUAUGCCGACUAGGGAUCGGAUGAUGUUAAUUUUUUAAUGACUCAUUCGGCGCCUUACG